GACUCAGUCGCUUAUUCUUGAGGUUUUUAAAUUGCUUUAUACUCUCUCAUCUCUUUCUGCUCAUGCUAUGCUAUUUUUCCUUCAGAAUGUGAUGCUUGUGUACAUCCUUAUGGAAUAUCUAUAUCUUUAUUUUGUUGACAUGAUGACAACACUCCACUUUGAGGAUCAGUUUGUUUCAUGGAAAGGGAUAUUGUUUAUGAUUUUAUAUAGUUUAUGUUUCAGGAAACAGAAUGGUAGAUUUAUUAUUCGUUAUGCAAAUAAUGUGUUGAAAUUCUUCCAACAGGUCUUUGAUAAGGAUAUUGGGC
rnacentral:misc_RNA from 1 species